rnacentral:rRNA from 1 species
GACGAACGCUGGCGGCGUGCUUAACACAUGCAAGUCGAGCGGAAAGGCCCUUCGGGGUACUCGAGCGGCGAACGGGUGAGUAACACGUGAGUAACCUGCCCUAGGCUUUGGGAUAACCCCGGGAAACCGGGGCUAAUACCGGAUAUGACCUGGUGCCGCAUGGUGUUGGGUGGAAAGUUUUUUCGGCCUGGGAUGGGCUCGCGGCCUAUCAGCUUGUUGGUGGGGUGAUGGCCUACCAAGGCGAUGACGGGUAGCCGGCCUGAGAGGGCGACCGGCCACACUGGGACUGAGACACGGCCCAGACUCCUACGGGAGGCAGCAGUGGGGAAUAUUGCACAAUGGGCGGUAGCCUGAUGCAGCGACGCCGUGUGAGGGAUGAAGGCCUUCGGGUUGUAAACCUCUUUCAGCAGGGACGAAGCGUGAGUGACGGUACCUGCAGAAGAAGCGCCGGCCAACUACGUG